AACGAACGCUGGCGGCAGGCCUAACACAUGCAAGUCGAGCGAAGCCUUCAGGCUUAGCGGCGGACGGGUGAGUAACGCGUGGGAACGUGCCCUUUGGUACGGAAUAGCCCCGGGAAACUGGGAGUAAUACCGUAUGUGGUCGAGAGACGAAAGAUUUAUCGCCAAAGGAUCGGCCCGCGUUGGAUUAGGUAGUUGGUGGGGUAAUGGCCUACCAAGCCGACGAUCCAUAGCUGGUUUGAGAGGAUGAUCAGCCACACUGGGACUGAGACACGGCCCAGACUCCUACGGGAGGCAGCAGUGGGGAAUCUUAGACAAUGGGGGAAACCCUGAUCUAGCCAUGCCGCGUGAUCGAUGGAGGCCUUAGGGUUGUAAAGAUCUUUCAGUGGGGAAGAUAAUGACUGUACCCACAGAAGAAGCCCCGGCUAACUCCGUGCCAGCAGCCGCCGUAACAC
rnacentral:rRNA from 1 species